GGGCGAUUAGCUCAGUGGUAGAGCACUGCCUUCACACGGCAGGGGUCAGUGGUUCGAACCCACUAUCGCCCACCA
rnacentral:tRNA from 6 species